GAGUAUCUGUCUGGGAGUUAGCAGUGUGUUGACCCUCCCAUGAUUCCCACGGAUAAAAGGCGGCAGAGCCUGAGGUCCCAGGAAGGCCAGCUCUUCCGCUGGGCCCACAUUCUGCCAUGGGCUCGCUUGCCAGCCAGCUUCUUUGGAAGGCACAUCACCCUUGAUCCCAUCCCUGAUCUUGCUCGAGGGGCUUGGCCAAGGGGUGGAGGCCUGGACCCGCAGAGCCCAGGGGUAAGCUGGCCCUGAUUUCAGGCUAAAGAAUGCUCCACGGGCCCCUUUGCUGGUUGCCAUCUCUCGGCUUUGUGUGCGGGGAAACAUCUUGAACAAAAUGUCACGGAGAGAGCAUCUCAGCCGUGUCCUGCUGACUGAGGACAUGGGCUGCCGGGUUUGCCAUCUGCCUGCAGCCUCUCCGAGGUAAUUAUAUCAGAGUCUCUCAAGUCCUGGAACAAGGUGGAUGUCAGAUGCACUUUUCUUCCUCUAGGAAGACCCAGUUCCUGCAGUGCUCAGUUCAUCAGACCAUUAAGGACCAUUUCAGACCUGGCUGUAUAGAGCCAUCCAGGAAUCCUCAAAGAAGACUGCCUCUGUGUUCCACUCCAGACUCCAGGAAGAAGGAAGCUGAGUGCCUUACCUGGUAUCUGAGGCUCUCUGCCAUGCAGUCAGAUGUGACCAGGGAGCAGGGUCUUGUGGUCCACUCAGCUGGUUGGGAGGAGGUGACUCUCAGAAGGAUACAGGGAGGAUGUGAUUGGCAUCUCUGUGGCAGAGUACAAGUACUGUUUAGAGCUAGUGGCCAGUGAGGUUAAUGAGGACCUGGAGGAACAGAGCUGUCAUUGACCGGACCUAUUAGUUAGAUGCAUGACAUAUGGGGGAGGGGGAGUUUGAAUACCAAGAAGGAAGUCUGGAUACCAAAGUUGAAAUGAUG
rnacentral:lncRNA from 9 species